rnacentral:lncRNA from 1 species
CAGGUUCCUGCAGGUGGAAGCCUGAAAACACACAGAGGGCAGAGCUGGAGCAGGGAUUUAUAGGGGCUGGAAAUACUGGGAGAGUCAGGCUAAUGGAAAAAAAGGGGAAGCUUGCCCGAAGAAGAAAAGCAAGCCCAGCAAGUCUUCGAGUGUCAAAAUCCUCUUUUAUUGAUGGCUCACUUCUGGAGCCUUUAUUUUAUUGGCUCUAUGCCUAACCUUGAUAAGAUUUUACCCUCACCAACAACUGCAACUCAGGCAUUUUAAAGACUGCUUCAUGAAUUAAACUAUUGUUCCUUAUAAAUAAACUCUAAUUCUUUUUUUUUUUUCUCAUACAUUAUUUAUUUCCUAGCUCUUUCUUCUGCUGCAGAGAAGUGAAAGGCAGAGAAGGAGGAGUACAGAAAGGAAGAGGGAUGUUUCAAAGACGAUGGGAAGUACACGAUUGUUUUUUGACAAUGGUGAAAAUUCCCUUUCAUGACACAGAGCUGUCAGGGGGUAUUUCUUUCUUCUUUGACAUCCUCUUUGAAGUGCUGUGUUGCAAUAAUGCUGAUAUUAUGCUGCUCAGGCAUUAUUUAUGACUGCUGCUGGCAAAGCAGUUACUCCAUUUUCCAAGCCAAGCUGCAGUGAAAAUUUUGGCAGCAAUCAAAGAAGAGCCUCCAAAAAUAUGUAAGUGAAAUAAGUAAGAUUUCAGUCUUUUAGACAUUAUCAACUGGAAAAGGUGAACAGACAAACUGUUACUUUUAUUAAUUUCUUUACACUGU